GACGAACGCUGGCGGCGUGCUUAACACAUGCAAGUCGAACGGUGAAGCGCCUUCCUUUUUGGUGGGUGUGGAUGAGUGGCGAACGGGUGAGUAACACGUGAGUAACCUGCCCCCUUCUUCUGGAUAACCGCAUGAAAGUGUGGCUAAUACGGGAUAUUUUGGUUCUGUCGCAUGAUGGGUCUGGGAAAGAUAUGGUUUCGGUGGGGGAUGGGCUCGCGGCCUACAAGCUUGUUGGUGGGGUGAUGGCCUACCAAGGCGGUGACGGGUAGCCGGCCUGGGAGGGUGGGCGGUCACACUGGGACGAAGACACGGCCCAGACUCCGACGGGAGGCAGCAGUGGGGAAUAUUGCACAAUGGGCGCAAGCCUGAUGCAGCGACGCCGCGUGAGGGAUGGAGGCCGUCGGGUUGUGAACCUCUUUCGCCAGUGAAGCAGGCCUGCCUCGUUUGUGGGUGGGUUGACGGUAGCUGGAGAAGAAGCGCCGGCUAACUACGUG
rnacentral:rRNA from 1 species